UUUCCCUUUAUUAUUAUAUCAAACAGAUCCUGAGGUCUCACUCUCGCUCCUCAAUCUGCUCCUCUCUCUAUUUCUCUUCAUGUUUGAUUGGGAGCUCUCAAGUCUGAUACAACAAGCAGAUUUAUCAAUCCUGGAAUCUCCCCAUCCCUAGCGUCCAAUCACAAUUGCGAAAAUAGAGCCGGACGUUAGUAGCAAAGAUUUGUUCCAUGAUCCGCGUUGCGGUCUUUCCGAUCGGGACUGUCUCUCUGGCGAUCUCGCGGUGUUACUACUCCAUGUUCAUGCGGCACCAUGCGAUCCUAAUGUCGACGAUAAUCUCUUUCUUCACGGAGCACCUGGACUCUCCAUUCGUGAACUAGCCUUGGGCGGCAGGAUGCUCAGCUUCAACUUUUCGCUAUGCGGAGCUCCUCCCUACCCCUGCGAGGACUUUCAGUUCAAUCGCAAGAUUUUCGCCGUUAUAGGCGUGUGUCACUGCCCGUCGUCGCCUGAUCUGGACUCGGAGAAACUCAACUCUGCGAGUGAGGGCUACUCCUCCGCGGCAGUGAAACCACACUUCGUUUUUUGUCCGUGUCUCUCAGGACGAAUGGAUAAGUCUGUCUAAUGCAGCCGCAGUUCCAGUUCAGCAGGUGCAUAUUCACACUAGCAGUACUCCUGGGGAAGCAUGGGUAGACAUUUGAAGGAUGGUAGCAGGCCCAUGAUAUUGAUAUUUCAACUUUUAAGUUUAUUCUCCUGGAAGCGUGGGUAGACAUUCGAAGGAUGGUAGCAGCUCCAGUCCAUGAUAUUGAUACAUAAUGCUGGUUAGUAUUUCAACUUUAUGUAAGAUAUUGCUCAAUUUUGCUAUAAUAAUUGCAUAAUCUCUCAGUGUUUCUCAAUUUAUUUUGCAAUGUUCAUUACAUAGGUUUUAUUCUUAUUUUAUGGUCCUUAAUUCCACUAUGCAGCCCUUCCAUCCAAUGUUCAUUGUGUAGAUGUUAUUUUUGUAGCAAGAAAUGAAGAUCUAGUAGUAACAUUCUCUUCCAUCUCAUUACAUUAUUAUGCUAUGGAUCAUAUGCGCUAGUGUUAGUUCUUUGAAUACUGUCCUUGGUCCACAUAAAAGGUGAUGGUAAUGGUGAUGCUGAGUGUUGUUCAGAGUUCCUCUGACUUUUUCUAUCCAUUGGUGGCAUUUAGAAAACGUUCGACUAGGCUUUUUUUUCUUGUUUACUGAAUGGUAGUUUUAUGGAGAUGUUGAAGCAUUAUUUUAAAUUUAGGUUGUUCUUUUAUGUACUGAAUGAUUGCACCUCAACCAUGUUUAAGUUUGAAUUUUAGGAUUAAUUUAGAGGUCACCUAUGUAAUACUAUUUUAAGUAUCUUUUGGUUCAACUACCAGAAGAAAAUGUCCGAGUAACGAUAUUUCUUCCAUCAAGAGAUCCUGAUUUGAUUUGCAAAAUUAAGGUCAGGUGGGAUGUUGGAAUCUGGGGCCAAAUAGAACUGGAGAACUGAAUAAUUAGGGGGGAAUUAAAAUGCAGUACAUGUGGCAGAUAUCAGUUGAUGAUGUGCUGCUUGCAAAUCCAUCGACAUUGGGUUCAGCCUAGUUAGACUUAGACAUGAUAGUGAACAUACUGAAACGAGUCCAGAAUAUGUAUGAUGGAUAAAGGUUUUGAGCUGGCAGCCUGGCACAUGAUAUGUCUCCUACGGGAGUUCUUGUUGAAAACAACACAAAGGAAAUGAUAUAGAUGAGUUUUAGUAUAACAUGCAGAGAUGUAGCUGGAAAGAAUUGUUGGGGGUGCAAAGACAACUAUGCUGUAGUCUGGUAAGGUUUUCUCAUGAUAUCAUGAUUAUCUAGUUACCAGUUGGACAUUAUUCUUGUUUAAUUUGGUAAUCUCACUUCUUUGGUUGUUUUGCCCAUCAUCAUACUGCAGGGACCAUUGUUUUGAGUAAAAUAAAUGAUGGUGUUUUUGUCCAUUUAGGUUCCAUCAAGAAAUUUCCUGCAUAUAGAUACUUUUGAUCUUUAUACAAUACCUGAUAAAACUACUAGUUGCAACUCUUAUUCUGAUUUAAAAAUCUGAAUCAUAACCUUUACUUCUCUUAUAUUACCUACAGUUUUUAUCUUUUUAUAAAGUAAUGACAUGGCUAAUUCAUUCAGUAUAUAUAUGAAGUAUUCAUCAUCCAAGCCUUGUUCCAAAUUAUUUGGAUUCGACUACAGGACUAUGGGAGACAUCAUAGAAUCUGCUAUCCACUGGUGUGGAUAAUUCAUUCAGUAUAUAGUUAUAGGUUCUCAAAUUGUUGUGAUCUUUAUGGGUAAAAUGACUGUUUAACUAGUGUUACUUCAUUUCUUGUUCUUAUUUGACAACCCAUCCGUGAUUUUGUUUAUUCUUUAUUUCGUAUUUUGCUCUAUGGUAUUUUGCUUUUUAGAUAUGUACUUUUAACAUCCCCAGUUUGUCGCUACCUCAUUGAAUUGUUUUGGUAUACAGAACGGUUUGCUUCAGGGUAUGCUGUGAUGUA